CAGCCACUGAAUCUGCACCGGGAGCCUCCUGCGUCCAGCCCAGCCCCGCUGCGGUCUCUGGAAGGCUUUCAGAUGCAUCCAGCACCUACCGCACAGCUCCAGAUACGAGAUAGGGCCACGGCAUCGCACAGGACUUUGCAGAAGUGACUCGUGAUUUACGCACACGCCAUAAAAUACCUUUGAGGAGACCGAGCCUGUGAACAUCCACCUCUCACUGAAAUUCUCAUGCAGCCAUCCAAAAUCACCACUCGCUUUUUACUGACUUGGCCUAAGAAAUAAGUCCUUUUUCCCGAAAGCAAUCCAGGGCCCUUUAUGCACGCGCUACGCUGCGGGUUAAACGCGAUUCACGUGCGAAAGGCUGCAGUCAAGCCCCUGACGAAACAGAAGGGCUGCAAAUAAAUACUCCUCGUUAAAACUAA